UGGGGAAUUUUGGACAAUGGGCGAAAGCCUGAUCCAGCAAUGCCGCGUGUGUGAAGAAGGCCUUCGGGUUGUAAAGCACUUUUGUCCGGAAAGAAAUCCUUGGCUCUAAUACAGUCGGGGGAUGACGGUACCGGAAGAAUAAGCACCGGCUAACUACGUGCCAGCAGCCGCGGUAAUACGUAGGGUGCAAGCGUUAAUCGGAAUUACUGGGCGUAAAGCGUGCGCAGGCGGUUUGCUAAGACCGAUGUGAAAUCCCCGGGCUCAACCUGGGAACUGCAUUGGUGACUGGCAGGCUAGAGUAUGGCAGAGGGGGGUAGAAUUCCACGUGUAGCAGUGAAAUGCGUAGAGAUGUGGAGGAAUACCGAUGGCGAAGGCAGCCCCCUGGGCCAAUACUGACGCUCAUGCACGAAAAGGCGUGGGGGAGCAAAAGCAGGAUUUAGAUACCCCUGGGUAGUCCACGCCCCUAAAACGAUGUCAACUAGUUGUUGGGGGAUUCAUUUCCUUAGUAACGUAGCUAACGCGUGAAGUUGACCGCCUGGGGAGUACGGUCGCAAGAUUAAAACUCAAAUGAAUUGACGGGGUCAUAGCUGUUUCCU
rnacentral:rRNA from 1 species